AACGAAACUCAUUUUUUAUCCAGCUCUUUCACCACUCUUCGAUGCCAGGGUAUGCGUGUCUGCAUAGACACACAUAUUGUAAAUGUGAUUGCGCAUGCUUGUUGCACGUUGCAAUCAAAUGAUUGCUGUUGCAUUGCGUUCGGCCGCUGAUUUCUCAUGCUUCGCCGCUUGCACUCGCCCAGCCCCUCUACCCGCUCUACUCCCCCACCAUCGGCAUUACUGUCAGCGCUGCCGCCGGUGUCACAUCACCAACUCGCAGUGACAGCAUUUUAAACAUCACAUCGUCUGCCUACUCGUCUCUCCACUAAAUCGCCCUACUCCCCCAACACCGCUCCAUCGUCCAUCGUCGAUUGUUGUGCGUUUAUCAUACAUAGCUACGUUGCAUGUGUGUGUGUGUGUGUGUGUGUCUGUUUCACAUUAGAUUUAGUUUAAUAUUUGUCUCUUGUUUAUUUACCACUGCUUUUAAGUGGUCGGCGUUGUUGUUGCUGUUGGUGUUGCCGUUGCUGCCGCAUAUUGCUGCAAUCACUGCUGCCUGCACUAGUUGCUGCGCUGCAUUGCAACAAUUGUAGCAGUUUCGUAUGCGGCGGCUGGUUACGAAACUCAAGAAAAACUUCCGCAUUCAUUUAAGAUCUUUCUGUCGUUGCUGUUGUUAUUUUUUAUUUCACGCUGUUGCACUCAGCUGCUGCUGUUGCCCCUGCGCUACGUUGCUACUCGUAUUAUUAAUGCCGGCUCCGGCUCCGGCUACAGCUCCAGCUCCGGUUGUUGUUGAUUUUAUUUUACUUGCAGUCGUUUUUCUUACUCUUUAUGGAGCGCAUAGACAGACAGGCAAACAGCAUUGACAACUCGACGCCACUGUAAGCAGCAACAACAGCAAUCAAGCGCUACUGUAACAUAAUUUUGAGCCACGACUUCGGUGACACCAGUUGAGGUACCGGCUAUGGCUGUGGCUGUGGUAAUGGCUCAGACUCAUCUGCCACAAUCAUUAGCAGUUAAACGAUUUAAACUAAUUGGAGGUACUCGUGGAGCCUUAAAACUGGAUUUGAUAUGUUCAGCUUAAAGCCACAAUUGGGUCUUAAAUUAUUAAAUAGUAACUAUUUGUAGAAGUGGUAGAAUUGGUAUUAGAAAAGAGUUAGCGAUGCCGAAGCGGCAGCAGGAAUAAACAAUAACAAACAACUAACCAUCCUGCAGGGUAGUAGUAAACAGCCAAUUAGAGAUCAAAAUGGUGCUUUACUGACUUCCAAUGAUGACCAGAUCCGUAGAUGGAAAAAAACAAUUUGAAGCAAUUAGCAACAUUGCGCUUAGUUUUUUUUGCUCUGAUUGUAGUUUUGAAUUUGACAGCAUGACAACAACAUCUUGCCCUAAUCUAGCGGAGAUCGGGGAUGCAAUGCUGAUCGCCGGCCCGCAAUUUUCCGCGAAAAUUCUUCAUCCCCAUAUCACCGCCGUCUGGGACAAUGAAAAGCUACCUCCGUCAUGGCAAACGGCGUCAUCGGGAAGCUGUCGACGAAAGGCGAUUUGCGUGACUGUGGCAACUGGCGAGGAGUAACCCUGCUCAACGUCAUCUACAAAUAAUUACAGCCACGAUCAUACAAAGCAGACUCCAAUGUAUCGAAAUCUCCUUAAGGGACGAACUAGCUGAAUUUCGCCCACACCGAAGCCGUGUUGACCAAGCCAACAUUCUUCGCAUCAUAGUAUAUUAGAACAAUCAGUUCAGUGGUGUUCCCCGCUUUCCAUGCUGUUAGUUGACUUUAGAAAGGGACUUCCCGCUAACAUAAUUCGCCUCCUCAGAGCCUUUUACGAGAACUCCGAACUGGCAGUGCUUCAUAAUGGCAGCAUCAGCGACCCAUUAUCCACCAACGCAGGCGUAAGGCAAGGUUGUCUCCUGUCGCCCCUUCUCUUCCCCAUCGUCCUACGAAAAAGAGGCAUCGAAUGGAGUUUCGCCUCGCAAACUCACUGGCAUGGCGAAGGCGGAUAGACUAGUAACGCUGGCACGCACUGUCGAUUUGGAGUCAACAUCGACAAAACCAAACCUAUGAGAAUCAACCACAAUAAAGCAGGGCAUAUAACGGUUGACGGGUGCCCAGUGAAAUUUGUCGAAAGCUUCUGCUACCUCGGCUGCACUAUGACAACAGACGACGGAGCAGAUGAAGAUGUCAACUGGAGAAAAUAUAAAUUUGCUGAGUACGUUCAGCACUAAUCGGCAAAUGAGCCUAAUGCACAAAGUUCCUCUUAGGCUUGUAAUUGUUAGGGAUGUAAAGGUUAAUGCUGCAAAUAGUGAUGUCGUAACCAUUACGUCAUAGUCGUAAGCAUAACAUGCCUUAACCAUAAAUAGCUGAUAUGGCAGUAGAAUUAAUAACAAUAUUUGCAUUUUGUCAUAAAAACACGGAUAACUUUGAACUAAGCCAAUUAAUUUGUCGUCGUUAAUUUUUAAUAUCCAAAUUUGUAUCGCAAAAAUGAAAAUAAAUGCUUACGGUUGCAGCUGCUCCAAUAGAUGCAUACGGCUAGGGUUAUCGCUAUGGCGCUUGGUACGGCAGUGAUGCCCAUAAGUAUUGCACAGCCUCAUUUCCCCACAUAUCCCAAGCCUUUGAUCGCAUUUGGUCCUACCUCAAAGAGCGACAUUUCUUUGUUAAACAAAACGAAUAACACUCUGAACUCUGUGAAAGUUUAGCUGGUGUACACCAAGGCAGUAUAAUGGGCCCAGUCCUAUAGCGGCUCUACACCCACGAUUUACCAGUAACUGAGGAAACUGUUGGAACUUCUGCAGAUGACACCGCUGUACUCGCAAUUGACUCUUUUAACAGUAGACGCAUCUAGUAGCACAAGGUGGCUCAAAAUUUAUCAAAUAAAUGGAUAGCUUUUUUAAUGAAAAAUAAAAAACAAAAAAAAAUUGCUGAUCAACAUCUUUAUUUGGGCCUUUACAAUGUGAAGUAGAAAAAAUAAUAUCCGUGAAAUAGCUGCCGCCAAUGUUGAUACCCAUUCGAGCCCAUUUUAUCGCAUUUUCCUUGACUUC